rnacentral:rRNA from 1 species
CCUACGGGAGGCAGCAGUGAGGAAUAUUGGUCAAUGGUCGGGAGACUGAACCAGCCAAGCCGCGUGAGGGAUGAAGGUACAGAGUAUCGUAAACCUCUUUUGUCAGGGUACAAAGGCGGGGACGUGUCCCCGGAUGAGUGUACCUGAAGAAAAAGCAUCGGCUAACUCCGUGCCAGCAGCCGCGGUAAUACGGAGGAUGCGAGCGUUAUCCGGAUUCAUUGGGUUUAAAGGGUGCGCAGGCGGUCUGUUAAGUCAGCGGACAAAGCCCGGGGCUCAACCCCGCCCCGCCGUUGAAACUGGGAGUCGCGAGUUGGAGGGAAGUAUGCGGAAUGCGCGGUGUAGCGGUGAAAUGCAUAGAUAUCGCGCAGACCUCCGAUUGCGAAGGCAGCAUGCCGGCUCCACACUGACGCUGAGGCACGAAAGCGUGGGUAUCGAACAGGAUUAGAUACCCGAGUAGUC